rnacentral:rRNA from 1 species
AUUGACUUGGACAAUAAAAUAAUUAUUUUAUGAUCUGAUCUCAAAUCAGGUAGGACUACCCGCUGAACUUAAGCAUAUCA